rnacentral:ncRNA from 1 species
CUUGUUCAAUAGCAAACUUAUUGAAAAAUAAGGACGCAAAGCCUCGGGCCUAAGGAAUGAACCUUCUCAUUCUAUGGCAGCCGGGCUGCCUUA